AAACUAAUUUAAUUUGGCGGCAUUUCAUCUAUUUAGAGGAAUUUGUCCUUUAAUCGAUAUAACACGUUAAAUUUUACUUUAAUUUUAAAAUUUAUAUACCGCCAUCUUAAGAAUUAAUUUAAAAAUAUUUCUCUAAAAAACAAAUAAAAAGUUAGGUCAAGGUGUAAUUUACAUUAAAGAGUGAGAUGAAUUACAUUAAAUAUUAUUUAAAGAUUAUUAAUAAAUAUAUUGAUAUUAAUAAGGAUUUAAAAGCAAUAUUAAAACAAUAUUAAAAUAUGAUAUAGAUAAUAAAUGUGUACACAUCGCCC
rnacentral:rRNA from 1 species